CGGCUGGGGCCGCCUCCCUCCCUCCCGACGCCGCUCCUGGGGCGUGCGGGCAGGGAGCGGCCCGUGGGAGGCGGGGUUGAGGGGCGCAGUCGCUCCCUCGGACUCCCAGAGUUGGGCCCGGCUCUGUCUUAAGAUCAACCUUUGCAGCAGUGUAUACUAGAAAAAAAGAAAUGGAAACCCACCACACUGGCGUCCAUGGUCAACUGGGUGGCCACAUGCAGGUGAUCCCAGGACCCAGCUUGUGCCCAGCUGCAGCUCCAGACCAGCUGGAGAGAGGCUGCCUUACCUCGUGAGACACCCCCCACCCCCCACCCCCCCAUGAAACCGGUGGUGGAGGUAAUACCUUCACAGUUACAGGGGCUUGUUCUUUGGCCUCAGUGUUGAUGUAGCUGUUGGGUUUAAGUUCAGUCAAAUCUCAUCUCAGCAUGAUUACAGAUGUUUCACCAUGAAAUUGCCAAACCAUUCUCCAAAUACAUCAAACGAGGGCCGCGCCUCCAGCAGCCGUGUUCAGAUCU